rnacentral:rRNA from 1 species
UACGGAGGGUGCAAGCGUUGUCCGGAAUCACUGGGCGUAAAGGGCGCGUAGGCGGCUCGGUAAGUAGGGGGUGAAAUCCUGCGGCUUAACCGCAGGGCUGCCUUCUAAACUGUCGAGCUUGAGCACGGUAGAGGCAGAUGGAAUUCCUGGUGUAGCGGUGGAAUGCGUAGAGAUCGGGAAGAACAUCAGCGGCGAAGGCGGUCUGCUGGGCCGUUGCUGACGCUGAGGCGCGACAGCGUGGGGAGCAAACAGG